AAUGCAGAGUCAAGUGCUUUACUUCCCUGACAACAGAAUAGGUUUUCAUUGAUAUGGAUGGAUGGACUAUAAGUUAAUGUAAGGAACUAUUUGGUAAUUUAUAUAGCUCUGCAGACACAGCUAUGAUGCCAGUUUGAAAGUCUUUUUUUUUUUUUCUUUUCUAUCUGCUCCUGUCUUUAACAGUAAUGAGAAUAGGAACAGGAGCAUGUAAUUAAGUCCAACUGAUUAAUGACCAAAACACAUGUUGUUAAUACACGUACACAUAGGCAUGAUGUAGCCUGUCGGUUUUUACCUUGUACAAAUUCAGUU